rnacentral:rRNA from 1 species
AGAGUUUGAUCCUGGCUCAGAUUGAACGCUGGCGGCAGGCUUAACACAUGCAAGUCGAGCGGAAACGAUGAUAGCUUGCUAUCAGGCGUCGAGCGGCGGACGGGUGAGUAAUACUUAGGAAUCUACCUAGUAGUGGGGGAUAGCACGGGGAAACUCGUAUUAAUACCGCAUACGACCUACGGGAGAAAGGGGGCAGUUUACUGCUCUCGCUAUUAGAUGAGCCUAAGUCGGAUUAGCUAGAUGGUGGGGUAAAGGCCUACCAUGGCGACGAUCUGUAGCUGGUCUGAGAGGAUGAUCAGCCACACCGGGACUGAGACACGGCCCGGACUCCUACGGGAGGCAGCAGUGGGGAAUAUUGGACAAUGGGGGAAACCCUGAUCCAGCCAUGCCGCGUGUGUGAAGAAGGCCUUUUGGUUGUAAAGCACUUUAAGCAGUGAAGAAGACUCCGUGGUUAAUACCCACGGACGAUGACAUUAGCUGCAGAAUAAGCACCGGCUAACUCUGUGCCAGCAGCCGCGGUAAUACAGAGGGUGCAAGCGUUAAUCGGAAUUACUGGGCGUAAAGGGAGCGUAGGUGGCUCGAUAAGUCAGAUGUGAAAUCCCCGGGCUCAACCUGGGAACUGCAUCUGAUACUGUUGAGCUAGAGUAUGUGAGAGGAAGGUAGAAUUCCAGGUGUAGCGGUGAAAUGCGUAGAGAUCUGGAGGAAUACCGAUGGCGAAGGCAGCCUUCUGGCAUAAUACUGACACUGAGGCUCGAAAGCGUGGGUAGCAAACAGGAUUAGAUACCCUGGUAGUCCACGCCGUAAACGAUGUCUACUAGUCGUUGGGUCCCUUGAGGACUUAGUGACGCAGCUAACGCAAUAAGUAGACCGCCUGGGGAGUACGGCCGCAAGGUUAAAACUCAAAUGAAUUGACGGGGGCCCGCACAAGCGGUGGAGCAUGUGGUUUAAUUCGAUGCAACGCGAAGAACCUUACCUGGUCUUGACAUAUCUAGAAUCCUGCAGAGAUGCGGGAGUGCCUUCGGGAAUUAGAAUACAGGUGCUGCAUGGCUGUCGUCAGCUCGUGUCGUGAGAUGUUGGGUUAAGUCCCGCAACGAGCGCAACCCUUGUCCUUAGUUACCAGCGGGUUAAGCCGGGAACUCUAAGGAUACUGCCAGUGACAAACUGGAGGAAGGCGGGGACGACGUCAAGUCAUCAUGGCCCUUACGACCAGGGCUACACACGUGCUACAAUGGUAGGUACAGAGGGCAGCUACACAGCGAUGUGAUGCGAAUCUCAAAAAGCCUAUCGUAGUCCAGAUUGGAGUCUGCAACUCGACUCCAUGAAGUAGGAAUCGCUAGUAAUCGCGGAUCAGAAUGCCGCGGUGAAUACGUUCCCGGGCCUUGUACACACCGCCCGUCACACCAUGGGAGUUGAUUGCACCAGAAGUGGAUAGCUUAACCUUCGGGGAGGCGUUCACCACGGUGUGGUUGAUGACUGGGGUGAAGUCGUAACAAGGUAGCCGUA